rnacentral:rRNA from 1 species
GAAGGUGUAUCUAGAAAGACAAAUUAGAGCUUGAAAAAUAAAGCAUUUCAUUUACAUUGAAAAGUAUAUUGUGUAAUUCAAUUUAAUUUGAUAAUAAAAAUUUAUUAAUUUUUUUUGUUUAAAAAUUUAUUUAAUAAAAUUAAUUUUAAAUUAAGUUUUUUUUUGUAUAGUAUAUAGAUCAAAUAAUUUAUAUAAUAGUUAAUUAGUAUUGUAAAAGAAUAUUGAAAUAUUUGAAAAAAUUUUAAAUUAAAAGUAAAUUUUAUAUAUUGUACCUUGUGUAUCAGGGUUUAUUAAUUAAAAAUUAAAUCUUUAAUUUUCUCGAAUUUAAGAGAGUUAAUUUAUUAUUUAAUUUUUUGUUUCAUAAAAAUUUAAAAUAAUAAAUUAGAAAUGAAAUGUUAUUCGUUCUUUAAUAUAUCUAGUUUUUUAAGAAAUAAAUUAAAUUUAGAUUAUUAAUAAAUAAUUAUUUAUUUAAAUAAUAAAUUAUUAUUAAUAAUUAAUAUUUUAAGGGAUAAGCUUUAAAAUAAGUUUUAUAAUGAUUUUUUAAUUUAAAAAUUAUAGGUUUAGAAAUAGUCAUUAAUUAUAAAAAUGUUAUAAUUUAUUUUAAGUUAAAAAUAAUUUUUAUUAAUUUAAGUUUUUAUUAAAAUAAUUUUUAAAAUUAUAUAAGAAUUAAAAUAAUGAUAAAAUUAGUAUACUUAAUUGUUUAAAAUAGUUAAAUUGAAAGGUUAAAUUAAGGAAUUUGGCAAAUAAAUACUCGCCUGUUUAACAAAAACAUGUCUUUUUGAAUAUAAUUUAAAGUCUAAUCUGCCCACUGAAAAAUUUUAAAGGGCCGCGGUAUU